UUCCGGUUGAUCCUGCCGGACCCGACUGCUAUCAGAGUGAGAUUAAGCCAUGCGAGUUAACGUAGCAAUACGUGGCGCACGGCUCAGUAACACGUAGUCAACAUGCCCAGAGGACGUGGAUAACCUCGGGAAACUGAGUCUAAACCGCGAUAAGUGAGGAUUUCUGGAAUGGUACCUGACUAAAAUCUAUAUGGCCUCUGGAUUGGACUGCGGCCGAUCAGGCUGUUGGUGAGGUAAUGGCCCACCAAACCUGUAACCGGUACGGGCUCUGAGAGGAGGAGCCCGGAGAUGGGCACUGAGACAAGGGCCCAGGCCCUAUGGGGCGCAGCAGGCGCGAAACCUCUGCAAUAGGCGCAAGCCUGACAGGGUUACUCUGAGUGACUUUCGCUAAGAAAGUCUUUUGGCACCUCUAAAAAGGGUGCAGAAUAAGGGGUGGGCAAGUCUGGUGUCAGCCGCCGCGGUAAUACCAGCACCCCGAGUGGUCGGGACGAUUAUUGGGCCUAAAGCAUCCGUAGCCGGUUCUGCAAGUCCCCCGUUAAAUCCAGCCGCUCAACGGAUGGGCCGCGGAGGAUACUACAGGACUAGGAGGCGGGAGAGGCAAGCGGUACUCAGUGGGUAGGGGUAAAAUCCUUUGAUCCAUUGAAGACCACCAGUGGCGAAGGCGGCUUGCCAGAACGCGCUCGACGGUGAGGGAUGAAAGCUGGGGGAGCAAACCGGAUUAGAUACCCGGGUAGUCCCAG
rnacentral:rRNA from 1 species